UACAGAGGGUGCGAGCGUUGUCCGGAAUCACUGGGCGUAAAGGGCGCGUAGGUGGCGCCGCAAGUCCAUGGUGAAAGCUCGAUGCUCAACAUCGAGUCGGCCACGGAGACUGCGGGGCUCGAGCACUGUAGGGGCAGAUGGAAUUCCGGGUGUAGCGGUGGAAUGCGUAGAGAUCGUAAGGAAGACCAGUGGCGAAGGCGGGUCUCUGGACAACUCCUGACGCUGAGGCACGAAAGCUAGGGGAGCAAACAGG
rnacentral:rRNA from 1 species